UAUUAAAGGCAACGCCUGCCCAGUGAAUAAUUAAACGGCCGCGGUACCCUAACCGUGCAAAGGUAGCGUAAUCACUUGUCUAUUAAUUGUAGACCCGUAUGAAAGGCACAAUGAGGGUUUAACUGUCUCUUUUAGCAUAUCAAUUAAACUGAUCUCCUAGUACAAAAGCUAGGAUGCCAACAUAAGACCAGAAGACCCUGUGAAGCUUUAAUUAAACUAUUAAAACCCAUAAUAGCUCCUUUAGGUUGGGGCGACCUUGGAAAAAAAAAGAACUUCCAAACACAUAUUAUAUAAUAAUAUACACUAGGCCAACAAGCCUACAAUAGACCCAGCACUGCUGAUAACUGAACUAAGUUACUCCAGGGAUAACAGCGCUAUCUUCUUCAAGAGCCCAUAUCAAAAAGAAGGUUUACGACCUCGAUGUUGGAUCAGGACAUCCUAAUGGUGCAGCCGCUAUUAAGGGUUCGUUCG
rnacentral:rRNA from 1 species